rfam:Clostridium paraputrificum strain 373-A1 CP373A1_23, whole genome shotgun sequence.
UGGGUGGUAUUUUCAGGAAGCUACACCAGAUUGACAAUUUUUUUAUUUUGUAUAGCUCAUAUCUAUUUAGAAUGGGACUAAUAU